rnacentral:rRNA from 1 species
UAUUGGGCAAUGGAGGCAACUCUGACCCAGCAAUGCCGCGUGAGCGAUGAAGGUAGUUUUAUUGUAAAGCUCUUUUCUCAGGAACGAACAAAUGACGGUACCUGAGGAAUAAGCCCCGGCUAACUACGUGCCAGCAGCCGCGGUAAUACGUAGGGGGCAAGCGUUAUCCGGAAUUAUUGGGCGUAAAGGGUGCGUAGGCGGGUUAUCAAGUCUUUGGUUAAAAUGCGGUGCUCAACGCCGUAGUGCCAAAGAAACUGAUAGUCUAGAGUAUGGUAGAAGUGAGUGGAACUCCAUGUGUAGCGGUAAAAUGCGUAAAUAUAUGGAAGAACACCAGUGGCGAAGGCGGCUCACUAGGCCAAUACUGACGCUGAGACACGAAAGCGUGGGGAGCAAACAGGAUUAGAUACCCUGGUAGUCCACGCCCUAAACGAUGAGUACUAAGUGUAGCCAGAAGGCUGUGCUGAAGUUAACGCAUUAAGUACUCCGCCUGAGUAGUACGUACGCAAGUAUGAAACUUAAAGGAAUUGACGGGAUCCCGCACAAGCGGUGGAGCAUGUUGUUUAAUUCGACGAUACGCGAAGAACCUUACCAGGUCUUGACAUACUCGGCAAAUCUAUAGAGAUAUAGAGGAGGUUAACCGGGAUACAGGUGGUGCAUGGUUGUCGUCAGCUCGUGUCGUGAGAUGUUAGGUUAAGUCCUGCAACGAGCGCAACCCUUAUUGCUAGUUACCAUCAUUAAGUUGGGGACUCUAGCGAGACUGCCGGUGAUAAACCGGAGGAAGGCGGGGAUGACGUCAAAUCAUCAUGCCCUUUAUGACCUGGGCUACAAACGUGCUACAAUGGCUGACACAAAGAGAAGCGAGCUCGCGAGAGUAAGCAAACCUCAGAAAAGCAGUCUCAGUUCGGAUUGAAGUCUGCAACUCGACUUCAUGAAGUUGGAAUCGCUAGUAAUCGCGAAGCAGAGUGUCGCGGUGAAUACGUUCCCGGGAUUUGUACACACCGCCCGUCAAACCAUGAGAGUUUGUAAUACCCGAAGCCGGUGGCCGAACCGCAAGGAAGGAGCCGUCUAAGGUAGGACAGAUGAUUGGGGUUAAGUCGUAACAAGGUAUCCCUACGAGAACGUGGGGAUG